rnacentral:rRNA from 1 species
UACGUAGGGUGCGAGCGUUGUCCGGAAUUACUGGGCGUAAAGAGCUUGUAGGUGGUUUGUCGCGUUGUUCGUGAAAUCUCACGGCUCAACUGUGAGCGUGCGGGCGAUACGGGCAGACUAGAGUACUGCAGGGGAGACUGGAAUUCCUGGUGUAGCGGUGGAAUGCGCAGAUAUCAGGAGGAACACCGGUGGCGAAGGCGGGUCUCUGGGCAGUAACUGACGCUGAGACGCGAAAGCGUGGGGAGCAAACAGG